CACUUGUCACAGGCUCUAGGUAAAGGGUAGGAAUGAACCAUCCCAUAUUAGAAAGGGAAGAGAGGGAAAGGUGAAAGUAGACAUAGGGACGUGACUUACCUAAUUACAUACCGCAUUUUUUGUCCCAGUGAUGGCGAGGACCAAGAGAGAAAUCUAUGAGAUCUAAGAGGCCAAAAUGAACAAUACCAUGCAAUGGCUAAGUUAUGACAUAAUAGUAUUAUGUUAGAGCCCUAGUCUAAUACCACUUAUAAUGCCUCGGCCCAACUAUAAAGUAUUGUACGCUUUGGUCUACUAGACCUUAUGAAUUUGUCCCUUGAGUCUGGCCAUCAUUGGGUUUAAAAGCGUGUUAUGCCUUGAGGCAAGUCAUGUCGUUAUGUAUACUUUCAUGUUUUCCUCCCUUUUUGAUAUGGGACAAUGCAUUCUUACCCCUUCACUUAAAAGGUUGCCAGCAAAGUCAUGCUCUUAUACCCACAUACCAGCCCUCGGAUGUUACACUAGCAGUGAAUUUAGUGAUAGACCCAUGAAUUCAUUGCUAAAAGAUUUUUUUUAGUAUCCCUCUUUAUACACUUGCAAACCACACAGUCUUCCACACCCAUGCCUUACCCUCCAUUACUGUACCUCUGUUCCCAUCUCUCUCUCUAUAUUUGGUAGAUCAUAAUGCAAUGUAAUGCAAUCAUAUUUUCUAUUGAGAUUCAAUAAAAAGCAUGAUUGUAUUAUCUUACAUUACGGCAUACCAAAUGUGGCAUUAGAUUGUCUAAAGCCAUAAUAAAUGGAAUUCAAAGCUUAUUUUCCAUAAAUUCAGAAACUAAAUUUGAAAAUACAAAAAACCCUCAUCCAAAAAUAAAGAAAUCCUCAUAAAUUCAAAGUCAUUACUAACACAUUCAAGCCAAAACUCGUCAUCACACCAAAACAAUUCUUAGUUGCGUUACCUCCUGAUGCCUUAUUCAAGCCAUCAACUCUCAAAUCCUCUAAGUCUAAAUUUACUAAAUCCUUUAAAUCUUAGUAAAGAAAUAUUAAUAUCCUAUGAAAUAAAAACCAGUUGAGAUGAAUAGUGAAAUCAAAAUUGAUUUCAUCAAAUUAAAUUACAAUUCUAAACAAAGAACUAAGAGGAAGUUUAGCCCUUGGGUUGGGGAGGGGAGGGGGGGGGGGGGG
rnacentral:misc_RNA from 1 species